CCAGACUCCUACGGGAGGCAGCAGUGGGGAAUAUUGCGCAAUGGGGGUAACCCUGACGCAGCAACGCCGCGUGCAGGAAGAAGGUCUUCGGAUUGUAAACUGUUGUCGCAAGGGAAGAAGACAGUGACGGUACCUUGUGAGAAAGUCACGGCUAACUACGUGCCAGCAGCCGCGGUAAUACGUAGGUGACAAGCGUUGUCCGGAAUUACUGGGUGUAAAGGGAGCGUAGGCGGGGAUGCAAGUUGGGUGUCAAAACUACCGGCUCAACCGAUAGUCGCACUCAAAACUGCAGCUCUUGAGUGAAGUAGAGGCAGGCGGAAUUCCUAGUGUAGCGGUGAAAUGCGUAGAUAUUAGGAGGAACACCAGUGGCGAAGGCGGCCUGCUGGGCUUUUACUGACGCUGAGGCUCGAAAGUGUGGGGAGCAAACAGGAUUAGAUACCCUGGUA
rnacentral:rRNA from 1 species